GAAAUGCGAUAAGUAAUGUGAAUUGCAGAAUUCAGUGAAUCAUCGAAUCUUUGAACGCACAUUGCGCCCGCCAGUAUUCUGGCGGGCAUGCCUGUCCGAGCGUCAUUUCAACCAUCAAGCCCCCGGGCGUGUGUUGGGGACCUGCGGCUGCCCGCAGGCCCUGAAAACCAGUGGCGGGCUCGCUGUCACACCGAGCGUAGUAGCAAUCACCUCGCUCAGGGCGUGCUGCGGGUUCCGGCCGUUAAACAGCCUUACAAAACCCAAGGUUGACCUCGGAUCAGGUAGGAAGACCCGCUGAACUUAAGC
rnacentral:misc_RNA from 1 species